UUCGAGUGUGUGGAAUGAUAUGUGGAUUUAUCCUACAUGUUCUAUAUGGCUUGGACAAGUUUUUGAAUAAGUUAGAGAGUGAUUGGAGGGUUAAAAGCGAGAAAGUGCAUUGAACUGGCGAAAUUCAGCCUUUUCUGCUUGCUGUACCGGUACAGCCACUAUGGUGUACCGGUAGGGCUGGCAAACGAGCGAGCCGGCUCGCGUUCGACUCGUGUUCGGCUCGAUAUUCGGCUCGCUCGAGCUCGACUCGAAAUUAAAUGAGCCGAGCUUGAACAAAAUAAAAGGCUCGAAAUUCAUUUCAAGCUGAGCUUGAGUAUUACUCGGCUCGUUCGAAUUAGGCUCGAAAAGCUCGAAAAGAUCGUUUUAUAUUAAUAUAUUCCAAUAUAUAUAUAUAUAUAUAUAUAUAUAUAAUAUUUAUAAAUAUAAUGUAUUUUAAUUAUAUAUAGGCUUUAAUUUAAUUUGGGCCAUUAUUGUUGGCGCAUAAAAUAAACUCAACAAGUACAAUCGUGCAAUUGAGCCCAACUCUAAAUUUACAUAACACACUCUUUCUUUUAGACUUUCACUGUUCCACGUAAUCCUAAAAUAUGAUAACAUUCAAAUUUCCAAAUUCCUAAUUUUUUUCCCCCCUCUCUCUCUCUCUCUCAUUCUCCCUCAGACCCUCACCCAGUCAGGCAGUCACCCUAGCUCACAUUUCUUGCAAUUAUUUUGUAUUUUGAACUAUUUAACAUGUUGCAUCAAAUUGUAGGUAAUGUUCUAUAAAAAUUAAACUAUUGAUUAUAUAAUGUCGAGAAUUCCAAUCGGCUCGUUUAGAGCUCGAGCUCGGCUCGAAUCGAAAUUAGGCUCGCUCGAGCUCGGCUCGAAUUAAUUUCAAGCCGAGCUUGAGCCUAGAUUUAGGCUCGAAAUUAAUUUCAAGCCGAGUUUGAGCUGACAUAAGCUCGCUCGAGCUCGGCUCGUUUCCACCCCUAUGUACCGGUACACAAUGGCAAAACGUGGCAGCAAGGCUAAUUUGGUAAUUUCACCUCUUGUCCCUAUCUACUUGACCCCAGCACGACCCCUGGGACUUGCUGGAGUGUGCUGGAGCUCAGAGGAAGAUUCCUCCAUAUUCUUCUUCUCUCUCUCUAAGAUUUUUCUCUCUCUCUACAAAGAAGUCGCCGUUUUGCACCGUUGUCGUCGCCGAGCUCGCUCUUCGCUAUUUGGGAGUGUCACUGAGCCUUGGUGGACGUGUGAGGGAGUGUUUUGGAGAGCUUUUCGCAGCCCUGGACUAGUAACUCACUGGUUGCAAGCUUGAGAAGGUAAUCGGCUCACUUUUUCAAUUUUCGGCAAUCUAUUGGACGAGUUAUGUAUAGUUUCGGGAUUGUUGCUUCUAGUUGCUUUAAUCUGAGAUUUCAGCAAUUAAAGUUGGAUUAAUUAGCUGUGAAUUAACCUCCUUAGACCAGGGUUAAGCUACUUUGGAACUUAAUGGAAAUAUUUAGCUAAUUAUGAAGCUAGUUCGGAACUAUACGAAGUUUACUCGGGCAUUUGAUGCAGUUUGGAAAUUACUUCUUCGCAGCAGGUUCCCAAUUCACAUUGGGCCUAAUUGGUGACCUCGGGAGUUGGUUUAGUAGGUGUUCUGACCCAGGGUAAGCAAGAAUUUCAGCUAGAAAACUGAAAUUUCUAGAUUUCGACUAAUAUAGCUUAUAUACAAGCAUAUUGACGCCGUUUCGGUUUUGUUCGCAGCGAGAGGGCAUUUGACCCUUGGACCGUCUUUGAUUGGCAGUGGAGGGCCUUUUGGAAGCCUAAUUUGAGGUAUCAAACUAGCCCUAAACAGGGAAUUAAAUUCCUACUUUGCUUUACGUGCGAAUUGUACCGAAAUUGGACAUUUCGGUUAUAGUAUUGACUCGACUCUCGUACCCUGUUUUCAGCAGCAUUGGGGCUUCGUUGAGCCGAUUUUGGGACUUCCUUUGGACUGUUUGGAGCUUAGUAAUAGGUGGGUUUGACCUAACCAGAGCAAGUGGAGCCCCCUAUAUUCUAUAUGUAUUAUAGAAUUGAUACAGUUGUAUGCUUUUGUGAUUGAUAUAGAACUUGAGACGAGUCACUAUAUUAUAGUGUUGAUAUAUAAUUAAAUUGAAAUCUCUAUGAAGUAGAGAACACUCAUGCAUAUAAGUCCUUAUAUACAUGUUUAAUUUAGUUGAGUGAUUA
rnacentral:lncRNA from 1 species